rnacentral:tRNA from 1 species
GUUUCUAUAGUUGAAGAUUCAACGGCAACUUUUCAGGUUGCAGGUCUUGGAGAGAAGCCAAGUGGAAAUU